AUCUAAAGAGCUGUAAUUUGAAUGUGGUUCUGUUUAUGUUCUGGCAUUUUUGGGUAUUGGCAAGAAAAGGAAGUGGUACCAUUUCAAGCAGAAGAAAUGCUGACCAGAGCCAGAGGUUGAGAGAAGCAGAGAAAUAAGUAUUUCUGAGGAAUAAAGAACAAAGACGAUGAGGCACUGCAGCUGAGCACUUCCACAUAUCCAAUGAUACCAUUGUGCUGAAAUGAGAUAUAAAUUGCAGUAGCAUCACUUAAUGUGUGACCUUGGACUGUGGUGGUUAUGGGACGAAGAAAAGGGGAAAGUAUCCAAACUUUUAGACCAUUCAAAAGAAGGGAUUCAUAUGAAUGUUUUGAAAGUCACAAGAAGAAUAUUCUUUCUUCUUCACAAAGAAAUGGACAACUUUGGAAGUGAAGUGGCGGGGCUAGGAUCUUGCAUUUCACCAAGUCUCUGCCAGGCCUCCCUGGACUAA
rnacentral:lncRNA from 1 species